UACGAAGGGGGCUAGCGUUGCUCGGAAUCACUGGGCGUAAAGGGUGCGUAGGCGGGUCUUUAAGUCAGGGGUGAAAUCCUGGAGCUCAACUCCAGAACUGCCUUUGAUACUGGACGAUCUCGAGUUCGGGAGAGGUGAGUGGAACUGCGAGUGUAGAGGUGAAAUUCGUAGAUAUUCGCAAGAACACCAGUGGCGAAGGCGGCUCACUGGCCCGAUACUGACGCUGAGGCACGGAAAGCGUGGGGAGCAAACAGGG
rnacentral:rRNA from 1 species